rnacentral:rRNA from 1 species
GACGAACGCUGGCGGCGCGCCUAACACAUGCAAGUCGAACGAGCGAGAGAGAGCUUGCUUUCUUGAGCGAGUGGCGAACGGGUGAGUAACGCGUGAGGAACCUGCCUCAAAGAGGGGGACAACAGUUGGAAACGACUGCUAAUACCGCAUAAGCCCACGACCCGGCAUCGGGUUGAGGGAAAAGGAGCAAUCCGCUUUGAGAUGGCCUCGCGUCCGAUUAGCUAGUUGGUGAGGUAACGGCCCACCAAGGCGACGAUCGGUAGCCGGACUGAGAGGUUGAACGGCCACAUUGGGACUGAGACACGGCCCAGACUCCUACGGGAGGCAGCAGUGGGGAAUAUUGCACAAUGGGGGAAACCCUGAUGCAGCGACGCCGCGUGGAGGAAGAAGGUCUUAGGAUUGUAAACUCCUGUUGUUGAGGAAGAUAAUGACGGUACUCAAAAAGGAAGUGACGGCUAACUACGUG